UAAAGAAAUGUCUUUUGUUUACUUAGCCAC
rnacentral:piRNA from 1 species